rnacentral:rRNA from 1 species
GAUGAACGCUAGCGACAGGCUUAACACAUGCAAGUCGAGGGGCAGCACAGGUAGCAAUACCGGGUGGCGACCGGCGCACGGGUGAGUAACGCGUAUGCAACUUGCCUAUCAGAGGGGGAUAACCCGGCGAAAGUCGGACUAAUACCGCAUGAAGCAGGGGCCCCGCAUGGGGAUAUUUGCUAAAGAUUCAUCGCUGAUAGAUAGGCAUGCGUUCCAUUAGGCAGUUGGCGGGGUAACGGCCCACCAAACCGACGAAGGAUAGGGGUUCUGAGAGGAAGGUCCCCCACAUGGGUACUGAGACACGGACCAAACUCCUACGGGAGGCAGCAGUGAGGAAUAUUGGUCAAUGGGCGCGAGCCUGAACCAGCCAAGUCGCGUGAGGGAUGAAGGUUCUAUGGAUCGUAAACCUCUUUUAUAAGGGAAUAAAGUGCGGGACGUGUCCCGUUUUGUAUGUACCUUAUGAAUAAGGAUCGGCUAACUCCGUGCCAGCCGCCGCCGUAA